rnacentral:rRNA from 1 species
UACGUAUGGGGCGAGCGUUGUUCAGAAUUAUUGGGCGUAAAGGGCGUCUAGGUGGGGGAUUAAGUUAGAUGUGAAAUCCCUGGGCUCAACCCAGGAAUUGCAUCUAAAACUGGUUCUCUUGAGUUCGGGAGAGGAGAGCGGAAUUCCCGGUGUAGCGGUGAAAUGCGUAGAUAUCGGGAAGAACACCAGUGGCGAAGGCGGCUCUCUGGCCUAGAACUGACACUGAAGCGCGAAAGCGUGGGGAGCGAACGGG